UACGUAGGUGGCAAGCGUUGUCCGGAUUUACUGGGCGUAAAGAGCGCGCAGGCGGCUGGUCAAGUCCGAUGUGAAAGCUCCCGGCUUAACUGGGAAACGGCAUCGGAAACUGAUCGGCUUGAAGGUGGGAGAGGGUAGUGGAAUUCCCGGUGUAGUGGUGAAAUGCGUAGAUAUCGGGAGGAACACCAGUGGCGAAGGCGACUACCUGGCCCACUCUUGACGCUGAGGCGCGAAAGCUAGGGGAUCAAACAGG
rnacentral:rRNA from 1 species